UACAGAGGUCUCAAGCGUUGUUCGGAUUCAUUGGGCGUAAAGGGUGCGUAGGUGGCGAGGUAAGUCAGGUGUGAAAUCUCGGGGCUCAACCCCGAAACUGCACUUGAUACUGCCUUGCUCGAGUACUGGAGAGGAGAUUGGAAUUUACGGUGUAGCAGUGAAAUGCGUAGAUAUCGUAAGGAAGACCAGUGGCGAAGGCGAGUCUCUGGACAGUUACUGACGCUGAGGCACGAAGGCCAGGGGAGCAAACGGG
rnacentral:rRNA from 1 species